rnacentral:rRNA from 1 species
AGAGUUUGAUCCUGUCUCAGGAUGAACGCUAGCGGCAGGCUUAACACAUGCAAGUCGAGGGGUAACAUUGUAGCUUGCUACAGAUGACGACCGGCGCACGGGGGCGUAACGCGCAACCUACCUUUUACAGAGGAAUAGCCCAGAGAAAUUUGGAUUAAUACCUUAUAGUACAUAAAACUGGCAUCAGUUUAAAAUUAAAGCUCCGGCGGUUUGAGAUGGGCAUGCGUGACAUUAGCUAGUUGGUAAGGUAAAGGCUUACCAAGGCAACGAUGUCUAGGGGUUCUGAGAGUGUGAUCCCCCACACUGGUACUGAGACACGGACCGGACUCCUACGGGAGGCAGCAGUGAGGAAUAUUGGUCAAUGGGCGCAAGCCUGAACCAGCCAUCCCGCGUGUAGGAAGACUGCCCUAUGGGUUGUAAACUACUUUUAUAAAGGAAGAAACCCUUCUACGUGUAGAAGGCUGACUGUACUUUACGAAUAAGCACCGGCUAACUCCGUGCCAGCAGCCGCGGUAAUACGGAGGGUGCAAGCGUUAUCCGGAUUUAUUGGGUUUAAAGGGUGCGUAGGCGGGCCUUUAAGUCAGUGGUGAAAUCCUGAAGCUUAACUGUAGAACUGCCAUUGAUACUGAAGGACUUGAGUAUAGUUGAGGUAGGCGGAAUGUGUAAUGUAGGUGAAAUGCUUAGAUAUUACACAGAACACCGAUUGCGAAGGCAGCUUACUAAACUAUUAUUGACGCUGAUGUACGAAAGCGUGGGGAGCGAACAGGAUUAGAUACCCUGGUAGUCCACGCCGUAAACGAUGAUCACUCGUUGUUUGUGUGAUAUACAAUAAGCGACCGAGCGAAAGCAUUAAGUGAUCCACCUGGAGAGUACGUUCGCAAGAAUGAAGCUCAAAGGAAUUGACGGGGGCCCGCACAAGCGGAGGAACAUGUGGUUUAAUUCGAUAAUACGCGAGGAACCUUACCUGGGUUUAAAUGUAGAUUGCAUGAUCGGGAAACUGAUUCCCUUCGGGGCAGAUUACAAGGUGCUGCAUGGUUGUCGUCAGCUCGUGCCGUGAGGUGUCGGGUUAAGUCCCAUAACGAGCGCAACCCUUAUCCUUAGUUGCCAGCGGGUCAUGCCGGGGACUCUAAGGAGACUGCCAGUGUAAACUGUGAGGAAGGUGGGGAUGACGUCAAAUCAGCACGGCCCUUAUGUCCAGGGCUACACACGUGUUACAAUGGCCGAUACAAUGGGCAGCUACCAGGUGACUGGAUGCUAAUCUCCAAAGUCGGUCUCAGUUCGGAUCGAAGUCUGCAACUCGACUUCGUGAAGUUGGAUUCGCUAGUAAUCGUAUAUCAGCAAUGAUACGGUGAAUACGUUCCCGGGCCUUGUACACACCGCCCGUCAAACCAUGGAAGCUGGGGGUACCUGAAGUUCGUAACCGUAAGGAGCGACCUAGGGUAAAUCUAGUGACUGGGGUUAAGUCGUAACAAGGUAGCGGGGAAUU